AGUGAACGCUGGCGGUAGGCCUAACACAUGCAAGUCGAACGGCAGCACAGUAAGAGCUUGCUCUUACGGGUGGCGAGUGGCGGACGGGUGAGGAAUACAUCGGAAUCUACUUUUUCGUGGGGGAUAACGUAGGGAAACUUACGCUAAUACCGCAUACGACCUACGGGUGAAAGCAGGGGAUCUUCGGACCUUGCGCGAUUGAAUGAGCCGAUGUCGGAUUAGCUAGUUGGCGGGGUAAAGGCCCACCAAGGCGACGAUCCGUAGCUGGUCUGAGAGGAUGAUCAGCCACACUGGAACUGAGACACGGUCCAGACUCAUACGGGAGGCAGCAGUGGGGAAUAUUGGACAAUGGGCGCAAGUCUGAUCCAGCCAUACCGCGUGAGUGAAGAAGGCCGUCGGGUUGUAAAGCUCUUUUGUUGGGAAAGAAAAGCAGCAGGUUAAUACCCCGCUGUUCUGACGGUACCCAAAGAAUAAGCACCGGCUAACUUCGUG
rnacentral:rRNA from 1 species